AGGUCAUUCCGCGGAGAUGCUGCUCCACUCCAAGUCCAUUCAUGAGUACGGUAUUUCAGACUUGGCCCAUAGAGGGUGAAAGGCCCGUGGGAGUGGGGUUUCAGGCAUGUCAGUGUCUCUCUGGAUAGACCUUGGAGUCGGGUUGUUUGUGAAUGCAGCCCAAAGCGGGUGGUAAACUCCAUCCAAGGCUAAAUACAUACACGAGUCCGAUAGCGAACAAGUACCGUGAGGGAAAGUUGAAAAGUACUUUGAAGAGAGAGUAAACAGUGCGUGAAACCGCUCAGAGGUAAACGGGUGGAGUUGAACUGCGAACUCAGAGAAUUCAGCUGGUGAGAAUGGUUUGAGCUUGGUCAAACAGGUUGGUGUCUUGGGGUCUGCCGAGAUGCAGGUCUCUGCCUUCGGGUGGGGAUGCGCGAUGCACUUAUCAAGUGUUGUGCGCCUCAGUGGCAUGUCGAGCCUACUCGCCGGUGCAUUUUCUCUGGGUGUUCACCACGACCGGCACUGCUGUCUGGCUGUUAUGGUUAAACCGUCUUUGCUUUGUCCUUGUGGCUUUGCUUGGUCGGGAUGGCAGGUAGCCUGUUAGCCUUGUCUUCGGACUUGGUUUUCGGGUGUAAUCAGCUGACUGUAAUGGUUCUGUGCAGUGUGUCGGAGACGGCGGCUUGUGGUGUGGGCAUGCGUGCUUGUCUGCUGACUUGGUUGGGUUUGGUUGUCAUGUUGCUUGUUCUGCAAGCCUGGCGAUGGCCUGACUAUGCUUGGUGGGCGGUGGCGUGUGUGACACUGUUUCAGGGCCU
rnacentral:rRNA from 1 species